rnacentral:rRNA from 1 species
AAAAAAGGUAAGCUACUAAGAGCGAAUGGUGGAUGCCUUGACUGGUAAAGGCGAUGAAGGACGUACUAGACUGCGAUAAGCUACGGGGAGCUGUCAAGAAGCUUUGAUCCGUAGAUUUCCGAAUGGGGCAACCCAAUGUAUAGAGAUAUACAUUACCUAUAUAGGAGCGAACGAGGGGAAUUGAAACAUCUUAGUACCCUCAGGAAAAGAAAUCAAUAGAGAUUGCGUCAGUAGCGGCGAGCGAAAGCGCAAGAGGGCAAACCCAGUGCUUGCACUGGGGGUUGUAGGACUGCAAUGUGCAAGAGGUGAGUUUAGCAGAACAUUCUGGAAAGUAUAGCCAUAGAGGGUGAUAGUCCCGUAUGCGAAAAACAAACCUUAGCUAGCAGUAUCCUGAGUAGGGCGGGACACGAGAAAUCCUGUCUGAAGCUGGGUCGACCACGAUCCAACCCUAAAUACUAAUACCAGAUCGAUAGUGCACAAGUACCGUGAGGGAAAGGUGAAAAGAACUGAGGUGAUCAGAGUGAAAUAGAACCUGAAACCAUUUGCUUACAAUCAUUCAGAGCCCUAUGUAGCAAUACAGGGUGAUGGACUGCCUUUUGCAUAAUGAGCCUGCGAGUUGUGGUGUCUGGCAAGGUUAAGCAAACGCGAAGCCGUAGCGAAAGCGAGUCUGAAUAGGGCGCUUAGUCAGAUGCUGCAGACCCGAAACGAAGUGAUCUAUCCAUGAGCAAGUUGAAGCUAGUGUAAGAACUAGUGGAGGACUGAACCCAUAGGCGUUGAAAAGCCCCGGGAUGACUUGUGGAUAGGGGUGAAAGGCCAAUCAAACUUCGUGAUAGCUGGUUCUCUCCGAAAUAUAUUUAGGUAUAGCGUUGUGUCGUAAUAUAAGGGGGUAGAGCACUGAAUGGGCUAGGGCAUACACCAAUGUACCAAACCCUAUCAAACUCCGAAUACCUUAUAUGUAAUCACAGCAGUCAGGCGGCGAGUGAUAAAAUCCGUCGUCAAGAGGGAAACAACCCAGACUACCAGCUAAGGUCCCUAAAUCUUACUUAAGUGGAAAACGAUGUGAAGUUACUUAAACAACCAGGAGGUUGGCUUAGAAGCAGCCAUCCUUUAAAGAAAGCGUAAUAGCUCACUGGUCUAGUGAUUUUGCGCGGAAAAUAUAACGGGGCUAAAGUAAGUACCGAAGCUGUAGACUUGCGCACAACUUAGAUUAUUUAAGUUUAGAAUAUGAGAAACUAAGUUAUAUGUUUAGUUAUAUUUUUACUGAUUUUUAUAGAGUAAAGAUAGAAAUAAAACUUAGUAAAAUCAGUAAAAAUAUUCUUAGACUAAAGUUAAGUAGUUUAAGUUGUGUGCAAGUGGUAGGAGAGCGUUCUAUUUGCGUCGAAGGUAUACCGGUAAGGAGUGCUGGAGCGAAUAGAAGUGAGCAUGCAGGCAUGAGUAGCGAUAAUUAAUGUGAGAAUCAUUAACGCCGUAAACCCAAGGUUUCCUACGCGAUGCUCGUCAUCGUAGGGUUAGUCGGGUCCUAAGUCGAGUCCGAAAGGGGUAGACGAUGGCAAAUUGGUUAAUAUUCCAAUACCAACAUUAGUGUGCGAUGGAAGGACGCUUAGGGCUAAGGGGGCUAGCGGAUGGAAGUGCUAGUCUAAGGUCGUAGGAGGUUGUACAGGCAAAUCCGUAUAACAAUACUCCGAGAACUGAAAGGCUUUUUGAAGUCUUCGGAUG